AAUAUUAUAAAUGAAAAAAGUGUAAAUAUUAAAUCUGAUUGUUUAGAUUACACUGAUUUAAUUUGAAACAAUAGAUAUUAUUUUUCUGGUAUUCUUUUUAAAAUGAUGCCAAUGAUUUCAAAUUUAGCAUCAUAUUUAUUGUGAGAAAAGAAUUUGUUCAUAUUGAUGUUAUCUAUGAUGAAUUAUAUGCAGGGCAGUUGAGAAUGGUCCUGGGGCAGUGCAGGUGCCAGAGUCCCAAAGGUGGGGUAUAGAGGGAAUGUAGGGUGGGGCAGAAAGUCAGAGGAAUGGUGGGGGUAAGGUGAAAGUUCCUCUAAUCUAAUUAUAGGUACUUACUGUAAAUGUCUAAUUUAAAUGAUAGAGUAGAUAAACUCUUCAUAUAGGAAACAAUUUAGUAGAAAAACUUCGAAGUCGAAUCUCUUUUUAAAGUAUGAAUAAAUAUUUUUGAUAGGGUUUUUUCACCCUAGUAGCUCUAGGCAUUCUCCCUACCUGCUCUCUUUUUCCUCUCCCCACCCCCCUUGGUGCUACAAAUUAUAUGUCUGUUAAUUUCAUUUGUAUUAUUAAUAGGGGUUUUUUUACUCUUGUAGCUCAAGGCAUUCUCCCUACCUGCCCUCUUUCUUCUCUCCCCCAACCCCUUCCUUGGCACUAUAGAUUAUAUGUCUGUUAAUCUCAUUUGUAUUAUUCGACAGGAAGGCUUUAAAGAAAUACAUGUAUUAUAUAUUAUAAAACAUUGCUAUAUACCAGUACAGCAGUUCUCAAAUAUGUUGGCCAGCGGCAGAUGUUAAAAAACAGGUACUCUAAAUGGGUCAUUUUAUUUGUAAGCCAAAUUGAAAUAUAAUGUUUAAAU